UCCCUUGUGGCUCAGCUGGUAAAGAAUCCGCCUGCAAUGCGGGAGACCUGGGUUCGAUCCCUGCGUUGGGA
rnacentral:tRNA from 1 species